UCGGUCAAUGGACACAACUCAAACAAAAAAGUUUGUACCUUGUCAAAAGAGUGCUUGCUCCUCCGGCUGAUGGACCCCAACUUGUUAAAAAACCAUCUAAUUUACACAACAAGCCAAGUAUGUCAAACGAUUCAGAUUUACAAGUAUCAAACAAGAAUUCUGUUUCAGAUAAG